rnacentral:rRNA from 1 species
GACGUAGGGCGCGAGCGUUGUCCGGAAUUAUUGGGCGUAAAGCGCGCGUAGGCGGUUACUCAAGUCGGAUGUGAAAGCCCUCGGCUUAACUGAGGAAGUGCACCCGAAACUGAGUAGCUAGAGUACUAAAGAGGGUCGCGGAAUUCCCGGUGUAGAGGUGAAAUUCGUAGAUAUCGGGAGGAACACCGGUGGCGAAGGCGGCGACCUGGGUAGAUACUGACGCUGAGGCGCGAAAGCGUGGGGAGCAAACAGG